rnacentral:lncRNA from 1 species
GCAGGAUUUGGGGUGUGGGAUUUUGCUGCAGGGCUUUGGAUGCAGCACUUCGGGUGUGGGAUUUUGCUGCAGGGGUUUGGAUGCAGGGCUUUGGACGCAGGAUUUUGGGUGCAGGACUUUGACGGAGGAUUUUGGGUGUGGGAUUUUGCUGCAGGGCUUUGGUUGCAGGAUUUUGGAUGCAGGAUUUUGCAUGUGGGACUUCGCUGCAGGGCUUUGGUGCAGGACUUUGGCACCUGCUUUUGGCCCAGGAUUGCAGCGCAGGACUGCAACGCAGCGCUUUGGGUGCAGCGCUUCGGUGCAGAACGGGGUAUGGGAUUUGGGGUGCAGGGCUUUGCUGCAGGGUUUGAGUGUGGGAUUUCGGUGCAGGAUUUGGGCUGCAGGGCUUUGGUGCAGGAUUUGAGUGCAGGGCUUUGGGUGCAGGAGGUUGGCACAAGGCUUUGGCACAGGAUUUGGUGCAGGACUUUGAUUGCAGGAUUUUGGGUGCAGCACUUUGGUGCAGAACUGAGUAUGGGGCUUUGGGUGCAGGACUUCGGUGCAGGGCUUUGGGUGCACGACUUUGGGUGCAGGACUUUGAAUGCGGCACUUUGGUGCAGGACUUUGGGCGUGGGAUUUUGCAUCAGGGCUUUGGGUGCAGGACUUUGGUUGCAGGAUUUCGGUGCAGGAUUUGGGCUGCAGGGCUUUGGAUGCAGGACUUUGUUUGCAGGUCUUUGGUGCAGGGCUUUGGGUGCAGGGCUUUGUGUGCAGGACUUUGGUGCAGGACUUUGGUGCAUGAUUUUGAUGCAGGACUUUGGAUGCAGAAUUUUGGUGCAGGACUUUGUGUGCAGGACUUUGGCGCAGGGCUUUGGUGCAAUACUUUGUGUGCAGGACUUUGGUGCAUGAUUUCUAUGCAGGGCUUAGGAUGCAGGACUUCGGGUGCAGGAUUUUGGUGCAGGACUUUGGUGCAGGAUUUCGGUGCAGGAUUUCGGUGCAGGGCUUUGGUGCAGGAUUUCGGUGCAGGUCAGGAUUUCGAUGUGGGUCUUAGGAUGCAGGACUUUGUGUGCAGGACUUUGGUGCAGGACUUUGGUGCAGGACUUUGGUGCAGGGCUUAGGAUGCAGGACUUCGGGUGCAGGAUUUUGGUGCGGGUCUUAGGAUGCAGGACUUUGGUGCAGGGCUUUGGUGCAGGGCUUUGGUGCAGGAUUUCAGUGCAGGCUUUGGUGCAGGACUUUG